GACGAACGCUGGCGGCGUGCUUAACACAUGCAGGUCGAACGGAAAGGCCCUGCUUGCCGGGUGCUCGAGUGGCGAACGGGUGAGUAACACGUGGGUGAUCUGCCCCUUACUUUGGGAUAAGCCUGGGAAACUGGGUCUAAUACUGGAUAGGACCAUGCUGUAGGUGGUGUGGUGGAAAGAUUAGUUUCGGUAAGGGAUGAGCUCGCGGCCUAUCAGCUUGUUGGUGGGGUAAUGGCCUACCAAGGCGUCGACGGGUAGCCGGCCUGAGAGGGUGGACGGCCACAUUGGGACUGAGAUACGGCCCAGACUCCUACGGGAGGCAGCAGUGGGGAAUAUUGCACAAUGGGCGCAAGCCUGAUGCAGCGACGCCGCGUGGGGGAUGACGGCCUUCGGGUUGUAAACUCCUUUCAGCCAUGACGAAGCCCUUGUGGUGACGGUAGUGGUAGAAGAAGCACCGGCUAACUACGUG
rnacentral:rRNA from 1 species